UUAACUCAAAUUUGUAUAGAGUUGGAACGCUUGCUUACCUUAGCCACUAAGAGCGCUGUUCCAACUGCAAGCAAAUUUGAGUUA
rnacentral:pre_miRNA from 1 species